UGUAUGUAUGUAUGCGCGUGCGUCUGUGUAUUUUUAAUUUAAAAUGUUUUAAUUUGGAAGGAUCUGGAUCACAGGUCAUUUAAUCUGAAAUCAAUCCGCACGCAACAGCUGGAAUCACUCACUGAUUCACAGAAGGAAGGACACAAGUCAGCCGUUUCCUCAAGUUCACGUCAGAGUGGAGAUGAUGUGAGAGGCAGACCCGAGACAUAGCGAGACAGUCUCCGCUUGGACUGGCUGAGGAAAGUCUCCUAAAUGGCCCUGGAGAUGUUCUGACUGACUUUGGAGGCUUUUUGGACUGUUUUAUGCCCUCUAUUUAAAGACUUAAUUCUGUAUGUUCAGUCUGUAUGAUAAGUGAAUAAGUGAAUAAAAAGCUUUUGUUUUUAUGUGA